CCCUGCCCAACUCACUCCAGAGAAGUGAGUAUCAGACAACUAGGGACAGCCCCUAUGCCCCAGGGCCCACUGAAAUUACUCAAACUAGCCAAUCUGAAAUCUACUUACCCUGCUUUGCCCAG